UAAAGACUGUAGAGGCAACUGGUGUUCUCACGCAAAGUGGCCAGGGUGUGGGAGACUGGAUCUUUGACUCUGGCAGUCUCUAGG
ensembl:miRNA